GACGAACGCUGGCGGCGUGCCUAACACAUGCAAGUCGAACGAAGCUUGAUGAUGGAUUUCUUCGGAAAGAAAUCUGAUAUGACUGAGUGGCGGACGGGUGAGUAACGCGUGAGUAACCUGCCCUUAGGAAAGGGAUAGCGUCUGGAAACGGACGGUAAUACCAUAUAAAGUAUAUUAACGGCAUCGUAGAUAUACCAAAGCUGAGGCGCCUAAGGAUGGACUCGCGUCUGAUUAGAUAGUUGGUGGGGUAACGGCCUACCAAGUCGACGAUCAGUAGCCGGACUGAGAGGUUGAACGGCCACAUUGGGACUGAGACACGGCCCAG
rnacentral:rRNA from 1 species